rnacentral:rRNA from 1 species
UCUUGGUCAUUUAGAGGAAGUAAAAGUCGUAACAAGGUCUCCGUAGGUGAACCUGCGGAGGGAUCAUUAAAGAGCGAGCGCGGAAACGCGCAACCUCCAACCCUUUGUGUGCGAAACCGCGUUGCCUCCGGGGUGCGAGAGCGCCCCGGGUGGACCACUCAAACACUGCAUCUUUGCGUCUGAGUACUUUAUUAAAUUAAUCAAAACUUUCAACAACGGAUCUCUUGGUUCUGGCAUCGAUGAAGAACGCAGCGAAAUGCGAUAAGUAAUGUGAAUUGCAGAAUUCAGUGAAUCAUCGAAUCUUUGAACGCACAUUGCGCCCCCUGGUAUUCCGGGGGGCAUGCCUGUUCGAGCGUCAUUACACCACUCAAGCACAGCUUGGUUUUGGGCUCCGCGGACACGCGAGCCUCAAUGACACCGGCCGAGCACCCGACCUCCGAGCGUAGAAGCAUCGUUUCGCUCUCGAGUUAGGGGACCCGCGCCGUAAAAACCUCUUUAACAAAGGUUGACCUCGGAUCAGGUAGGGAUACCCGCUGAACUUAAGCAUAUCAAUAAGCGGAGG